GUAUGUUUCUUUUACUGAUUCGUCCUUUAUCUUCUUCUCGAGUUCUUCAAACGUCUCCUUUCCCGACUCUUCUAAACCAUAGACAAUGAGGUUAUUGCGACGGCUUCGGUUUUCUAAUUCAUCCACCUUAUUCGUGAGAAAUGAUAAUUGACUGUCAAACUCUGUAAUUGUUUUUUUUAUUUCACUCACUUGUUUCGGCAG
rnacentral:lncRNA from 1 species